GCUUGUCUCAAAGAUUAAGCCAUGCAUGUCUAAGUGUAAAUAAGUCUAUACUGUGAAACUGCGAAUGGCUCAUUAAAUCAGUUAUCGUUUAUUUGAUGAUCUCUUACUACUUGGAUAACCGUAGUAAUUCUAGAGCUAAUACAUGCACAAAAUCCCGACUUCGGAAGGGAUGUAUUUAUUAGAUUAAAAACCAAUGCCCUUCGGGGCUCUCUGGUGAUUCAUAAUAACUGCUCGAAUCGCAUGGCCUUGCGCCGGCGAUGGCUCAUUCAAAUUUCUGCCCUAUCAACUUUCGACGGCUGGGUCUUGGCCAGCCAUGGUGACAACGGGUAACGGAGGGUUAGGGCUCGACCCCGGAGAAGGAGCCUGAGAGACGGCUACUACAUCCAAGGAAGGCAGCAGG
rnacentral:rRNA from 1 species